UGGGGAAUAUUGGACAAUGGGCGAAAGCCUGAUCCAGCAAUGCCGCGUGAGUGAAGAAGGCCUUCGGGUUGUAAAGCUCUUUUACCCGGGAAGAUAAUGACUGUACCGGGAGAAUAAGCCCCGGCUAACUCCGUGCCAGCAGCCGCGGUAAUACGGAGGGGGCUAGCGUUGUUCGGAAUUACUGGGCGUAAAGCGCACGUAGGCGGUCUUUUAAGUCAGAGGUGAAAGCCCGGGGCUCAACUCCGGAAUUGCCUUUGAAACUGGCAGACUUGAACACGGGAGAGGUGAGUGGAAUUCCGAGUGUAGAGGUGAAAUUCGUAGAUAUUCGGAGGAACACCAGUGGCGAAGGCGGCUCACUGGACCGUUGUUGACGCUGAGGUGCGAAAGCGUGGGGAGCAAACAG
rnacentral:rRNA from 1 species